UCCCCAUCGCUGAGGCAGUCUUGUAAGAAAAAUACAACUUACAAUAAGGGUUGCGCUCGUUAAGGGACUUAACCCAACAUCUCACGACACGAGCUGACGACGGCCAUGCAUCACCUGUCACUGCGCUCCUCUUGCGAGGCACUCCUGACUUUCGUCGAGAUUCGCAGGAUGUCAAAUCUUGGUAAGGUUCUUCGCGUAGCGUCGAAUUAAACCACACGCUCCACCGCUUGUGCGGGUCCCCGUCAAUUCCUUUGAGUUUUAGCCUUGCGGCCGUACUCCCCAGGCGGGAUGCUUAACGCGUUAGCUUCGCUACUCAAGAGGGUCGAUACUCUCAAGCAGCUAGCAUCCAUCGUUUACGGCGUGGACUAC
rnacentral:misc_RNA from 1 species